AGAGUUUUGAUCCUGGCUCAGGAUAAACGCUGGCGGCGUGCAUAACACAUGCAAGUCGAACGAUGAAGAUUAAAAGAUUUCUUCGGAAUGAAUUUAAUUGGAUUAGUGGCGGACGGGUGAGUAACGCGUGAGUAACCUGCCUUGUACAAGGGGAUAGCCGUUGGAAACGACGAAUAAUACCCUAUGACAUCAAAUAAUCGCAUGAUAAUUUGAUCAAAGAUUUAUCGGUAUAAGAUGGACUCGCGUCUGAUUAGCUAGUUGGUAGGGUAAAAGCCUACCAAGGCAACGAUCAGUAGCCGGCUUGAGAGAGUGUACGGCCACAUUGGGACUGAGACACGGCCCGGACUCCUACGGGAGGCAGCAGUGGGGAAUUUUGCACAAUGGGGGAAACCCUGAUGCAGCGACGCCGCGUGAUUUAGAAGGCCUUCGGGUUGUAAAAAUCUUUUGUAUGGGAAGAAAAUGACAGUACCAUACGAAUAAGGACCGGCUAAUUACGUG
rnacentral:rRNA from 1 species